CGACCUUUGUGAAUUAAGCCCAUUCAGUUCUUCCACCACCCCAGGGCACGACCAAAUCCACCGCCAAAGGGCAAGAAAACCAGGACAACGUGGCCUGUAUAAAUUAUUCCCUACCUACACCCUGAGCAGACUUCUCUGCACUCAAUAAAUGCCAAUAAAAGGCUAUUUCCUUUCACCGAUUCCCUCGGGAAGUUAGGAAUUUCCUCCAAAAUGAUGCUACUGCUUUAUAUUUAACGUGAAUAUUCCUCCAAUUGGUCUCUAAAAGUGGCACCGAAAAUUACAUUAUUACCCAUUCAUCCCUUUGGAUUAAACAUUGCCAUCAUGAGGCAUCAAUCCCGAUAUUGAACCAUUUUACAGGAAAUACAGGUAAAGAGGAAUAUGUUAAGUGACUUCAUGGGGACAACAGGCAAAUUCUGAUGUGGUAAACUACAGAACUCUGGUUUCUUCCACAAAAUUGCAAGACCUGAAGGGAAACAUCAAUUUUUAAAAUUUGAGGAGCAUUAACCAACCACAAUGGACCUUAUCUGGAAAAAUUUGAUAAGACACCUGGUUAAGUGAACACAAACUGGAUGUGAUAUUAAGGAACUGGCCACGCAUUGAUCAUAGUUGAAGCUGGGUGAUGAGACAUGGAGAUUCAUUAUAUUCUUUUUUUUUUUUUUUUUAAUUUGAGAAGGAGUUUCGCUCUUGUUGCCCAGGCUGGAGUACAGUGGCGUGAUCUUGGCUCACCGCAGCCUCCACCUCCUGGGUUCGAGCGAUUCUCCUGCCUCAGCCCCCGAAUAGCUGGGAUUACCGGCAUGCACCACCACGCCCGGCUAAUUUUGUAAUUUUAGUAGAGACGAGGUUUCCCCAUGUUGGUCAGGCUGGUCUCGAAUUCCGGACCUCGGGUGAUCCACCCGUCUCGGCCUCCCAGAGUGCUGGGAUUACAGUGUGAGCCACCGCGCCCAGUCCAUUAUGUUAUUCUCCUUGCAAAUCUUUCCUCCUACCACCCAGUCAGCAAGAUUUGGGAAGCUUGGGUAAAUGAUGGAAUUAAAAGGUCAAUUUCUUAGGAUGGCUACAAGACCAAAUGUAAACUUCACACUUAAUUUAUGCUUAAUCUAAUUAGAAAACAUCUGCCUAAGAAUUAGAGAAAGAGCUGGGUGCUGUGGUGGUGCGUGCUUGUGAUCCCAGCUACUCCAGAGGCUGGGGCAGGUAAGAUCUCUUGAGCCUAGGAGUCCGAGGACCAGGGGGAAUAAAAAGGAGCUAGGGAAAGAAUCUAUCCCCAGGGUACUGGGGCCCGCUGCGGCUGCAUGCCCUUGAGGCUUUCUAAGAGGAGCCAGGAAACCUGGGCCCAGAACCCACAAGGAUAAGGGCUUGGAUGGCCCAGGAGGGGCCUAACUGGGACAAGACAAGGAAAGAGCCUUUAGAGUAUUCAGUACAGAAAACUGCACGGAGAGCAACACCAGUUCCCUCCCCAUGUAGCUCCCACAUCAACACUAAGCCAGCAACUCCACUCUACAGAGUUUAUUGGGUUUGUAACUGGACGAAGUCACACGUGUACAAAAUGAAGCUCACACUAUCCCAAAGCAGAGUAGGGACUGAGGCCGGGGAUCCAUUACUGGCCUUUGGGGGAGCUCUGAGGUGGAUGGGAGAGCAGGAGCCUCAGAACUCCCCUGCCCAGGGAGCCCAGGGGCUGCUCCACCGGUCCCACUUGUAAUGUGCUUGGCCCAGACCUAGACUCGGGCUGGUGCAAAGGGAAGGCAGCAAAGCAGGAGGGAGGAGACACUGAUGUGUGGUGGGGGAG
rnacentral:lncRNA from 10 species